UACGUAGGGUGCAAGCGUUAUUCGGAAUUAUUGGGCGUAAAGCGUGCGCAGGCGGUCUUUUAAGUCAGAUGUGAAAUCCCCGGGCUUAACCUGGGAACUGCGUUUGAAACUGGAAGGCUGGAGUGUGGCAGAGGGGGGUGGAAUUCCACGUGUAGCAGUGAAAUGCGUAGAUAUGUGGAGGAACACCGAUGGCGAAGGCAGCCCCCUGGGCUAACACUGACGCUCAUGCACGAAAGCGUGGGGAGCAAACAGG
rnacentral:rRNA from 1 species